rnacentral:rRNA from 1 species
UACGUAGGGUGCAAGCGUUGUCCGGAAUUAUUGGGCGUAAAGAGCUCGUAGGCGGUUCGAUAAGUCGGAUGUGAAAUCUCCACGCUCAACGUGGAGGGGCCAUUCGAUACUGUCGUGACUCGAGUCCGGUAGGGGAGUGUGGAAUUCCCGGUGUAGCGGUGAAAUGCGCAGAGAUCGGGAGGAACACCCGUAGCGAAGGCGGCGCUCUGGGCCGGUACUGACGCUGAGGAGCGAAAGCGUGGGGAGCAAACAGG